rnacentral:lncRNA from 12 species
AAUCCAGUAGCUCCAUCACUGCACUGAGAAUUGGUCUUUCCUAGGAGCAUUAUUGAUGAGGAUCUGAACUGUGGUAAAGACGUCUCCAGGCUGACACUGGUGUCCCACAUUGAUGUACAACUGGAACAGGGCUGUUGUUACACUGAAAAAGGAGGAAACAAACAGUCAGCAGUUCCACCAUGAGUAGCAGCCAACAUGAAUUUGUCAAGAAUAAAUCACCUCCUUAUUGUCAGGAAAGGAGCUGGGUUGCUCAUUCAACCAAGCAAGACACUGUGGAAACCAUCCAACAAGAAGAGAGCAUCAGUGUGAGGCCAGAAGGAGCUUUUCUUAAUUUAAAGGGCUCAAAAAUGCUGGAAACUCACAGCCACUUUCAGUGUUGGGAUAGUGGAGCUGACAGGUUUUAUGCAUUCUUGUCCACAAGUUGAGAGGUGUGACUUGUGAAGGUAGAGGCUGGUGGCAGUUGCUGGGGAUGCCUUGGUGUGUAUGCUUUGCCUGGUGAGGAGGGGUAGGUAAAGAUUGUGUAGUGUUUUAUCAAGAGACCUACCAGUGAAUUUGGUAUAAAAGUCAAAGCACUGCAUAACAGACAACUUUUCUCAGCAAUAGCUUGUGGCCCAUCAUCUGAAACAAACAUUUGCAUGUAAGACAGUGGUAGUUCUUCAUAGCAUAAUAUGUCUUGGUUAAGGCAGAGCAAGAAACAAUCAUGCUUUUUAUCAGCUGGGGAAAAAAACCCAAAAGCCUCAGUAAAGGUGAAGUCAAACAGCUCUUAAGAGAGGCAUUUUUGUACAGA